rnacentral:rRNA from 1 species
UACGUAGGGAGCGAGCGUUGUUCGGAUUUACUGGGCGUAAAGCGCGCGUAGGCGGCCUUGUAAGUCGGGUGUGAAAGCCUUCGGCUCAACCGAGGACACGCGCCCGAAACUGCAUGGCUUGAGUCUAGGAGAGGAGAGCGGAAUUCCCAGUGUAGCGGUGAAAUGCGUAGAUAUUGGGAGGAACACCGGUGGCGAAGGCGGCUCUCUGGACUAGUACUGACGCUGAGGCGCGAAAGCUAGGGGAGCGAACGGGAUUAGAACUA